GAUGCCAAGGAAAAAAUGUUAAAUAUUGGCAUUGAUCAGGAUCUGAGAUAUUAAAUCCUUCAGACCUGAUCAAUCUCAGACUCAAGUUUUAAUAUCUCAGAUCGGUGCAAGAGAUUAAUGCCGAGAUUUAACAUUUUUUGUUUGAGAUCAUCAUCUGAAUCAAUAGCUUCGCAUGUCAGUAGAAGCUUAUUAACAUGAGAAAUCAGUUCAGUCUUCCCAUUACAGCU
rnacentral:lncRNA from 1 species